CAGCUAGUUGGUAUGGUAACGGCAUACCAAGGCUAUGAUGGGUAGGGGUCCUGAGAGGGAGAUCCCCCACACUGGUACUGAGACACGGACCAGACUCCUACGGGAGGCAGCAGUGAGGAAUAUUGGACAAUGGGCGCAAGCCUGAUCCAGCCAUGCCGCGUGCAGGAUGACGGUCCUAUGGAUUGUAAACUGCUUUUAUACGGGAAGAAACCCUGGCUCGUGAGCCAGAUUGACGGUACCGUAGGAAUAAGGAUCGGCUAACUCCGUGCCAGCAGCCGCGGUAAUACGGAGGAUCCAAGCGUUAUCCGGAAUCAUUGGGUUUAAAGGGUCCGUAGGCGGUUUUAUAAGUCAGUGGUGAAAUCCGGUAGCUCAACUAUCGAACUGCCAUUGAUACUGUAAGACUUGAAUUAUUGUGAAGUAACUAGAAUAUGUAGUGUAGCGGUGAAAUGCUUAGAUAUUACAUGAAA
rnacentral:rRNA from 1 species